GGAGUCCUCAUCCAGCAUACGUUUCUGUUGAAAAAUAUUUGAUUAGUGUCUUAUUUGUUUCAGAUCUCUACAUCAGAUUAUCAUCGAAUUCUCUGCAUAAAACACGUGCGAGCGAGAGCGUGCCACAAGGCGAAAAAAAUUCGAAUUUCUCCCCCAACAACAACACGUGCUCCCAGAUCGUUAUCAGAUUGUAAGUAUGCCACACACAAUCAUUUUUCGAAUAGCAUCCAUGUGUUAGAAGA